GGCGCUCUGGCAGAGUGGUUAUUGCGUAAGACUAGAACUUGUUCUUCACAGAACUCGCUCAGACAUCUUAUUCCUUCGGGAGCACAGGUUCGAAUCCUGUGGGCGUCG